UGCUUUAUGAAUAUUAAUAUAAAGUAAUCUCCUGCCCAGUGAUUUAUAUUCAACGGCCGCGGUAUCCUAACCGUGCAAAGGUAGCAUAAUAAUUUGCCCAUUAAUUGUGGGCUAGAAUGAACGGGGUAACGAAAUAAGAACUGUCUCAGUAAUAAUCAUAAAAACUAUUCUAAAAGUGAAGAAACUUUUAUAAAAUUAAAGGACAAGAAGACCCUAUAGAGCUUUAUUAUAAAAUAUAUAAACAUAUAUUAUUAAUUCGGUUGGGGCGACCUAGGAAAAAUCAUCCUAAAAUAUAUAGACUAAUUAGUCAAUUCAUAGAUCCUAUAAUAGAUCAAAAGAACAAGCUACCUUAGGGAUAACAGGCUAAUCCUAUUAGAGAGCUCAUAUCGACAAUAGGGAUUGGCACCUCGAUGUUGGCUUAGAAUAUCUUUAAGGCGCAGAUGUCAUAAAAAGAAGGUUUGUUCAACCUAUAAUUUUCU
rnacentral:rRNA from 1 species